rnacentral:rRNA from 1 species
GACGAACGCUGGCGGCAUGCCUAAUACAUGCAAGUCGAGCGAACAGAUGAAGUGCUUGCACUUCUGACGUUAGCGGCGAACGGGUGAGUAACACGUAAGGAAUCUACCUAUAAGCGGGGGAUAACAUUCGGAAACGGGUGCUAAUACCGCAUAAUAUCUUCUUCCGCAUGGAAGAAGAUUGAAAGACGGCUCUGCUGUCACUUAUAGAUGACCUUGCGGUGCAUUAGUUAGUUGGUGGGGUAAUGGCCUACCAAGACGAUGAUGCAUAGCCGACCUGAGAGGGUGUUCGGCAACAUUGGGACGGAGACACGGCCCAACAGCCUACGGGAGGCAGAAGUAGGGAAUCUUCCGCAAUGGGCGAAAGCAUGACGGAGCAAUGCCGCGUGAGUGAAGAAGGCCUUCGGGUCGUAAAACUCUGUUAUAAGAGAAGAACAAAUUGUAGAGUAACUGCUACAGUCUUGACGGUAUCUUAUCAGAAAGCCACGGCUAACUACGUGCCAGCCGCCGCCGUAA